rnacentral:rRNA from 1 species
UACAGAGGUCUCAAGCGUUGUUCGGAUUCAUUGGGCGUAAAGGGUGCGUAGGUGGCGUGGUAAGUCGGGUGUGAAAUCUCGGAGCUUAACUCCGAAACUGCAUUCGAUACUGCCGUGCUUGAGGACUGGAGAAGAGACUGGAAUUUACGGUGUAGCGGUGAAAUGCGUAGAUAUCGUAAGGAAGACCAGUGGCGAAGGCGGGUCUCUGGACAGUUCCUGACGCUGAGGCACGAAGGUCAGGGGAGCAAACGGG